GCACGAUGUGCCAGAAAACAAUUGUCUUUCGUCGUUCAUAUGGAUGCAGAGCUACCGGAUUGGUUCGCAGAGUCUAUAUGAGUCUGUUUGUUGUUGACAAAAAAAAACUAAAACAUAAAGAUAAGACUUCUCCUCUUUUUAAUAAGAACGAAAAAGGAGAGAAUAGUAUUAGUAAAAUGAGUUAAAAACUUAGAAUAUCUAUUCAGCCAAAAAAACUUAGAAUAUCUAUGUAGUAACAAACUAAACUUUAUAUUACUUUAGUUUUAUUACUAAUAAUACUAUAAAGAAUAUUUUUAGUUAAGACAAUUGCAAUAUCACAGAAAAUUUAUCGAGUCUUGUGUUCAGUAAUCUAUCCUAUACUAAACGAAAAAUAUCCUUAUUGCUUAAAACAUUUGGCCACUUAAUAGUCUUUUAAAACAUUUGGCCACUUUGACAUACAACAUUCUAAGCUUUUUCUAUACGUUAAAUUAUGCCGAGGAUAUUU
rnacentral:lncRNA from 1 species